rnacentral:tRNA from 1 species
GAAAGGUUAGUUAAACUAUAAUACAAGGUUGUCAAUCUUGAGUUACUAAGGAUUUAGUACUUUUCU